rnacentral:rRNA from 1 species
GUGGGGAAUUUUGGACAAUGGGCGCAAGCCUGAUCCAGCAAUGCCGCGUGCAGGAAGAAGGCCUUCGGGUUGUAAACUGCUUUUGUACGGAACGAAACGGUCCUGGUUAAUACCCGGGGCUAAUGACGGUACCGUAAGAAUAAGCACCGGCUAACUACGUGCCAGCAGCCGCGGUAAUACGUAGGGUGCAAGCGUUAAUCGGAAUUACUGGGCGUAAAGCGUGCGCAGGCGGUGCUGUAAGACAGGCGUGAAAUCCCCGGGCUCAACCUGGGAAUUGCGCUUGUGACUGCAAGGCUGGAGUGCGGCAGAGGGGGAUGGAAUUCCGCGUGUAGCAGUGAAAUGCGUAGAUAUGCGGAGGAACACCGAUGGCGAAGGCAAUCCCCUGGGCCUGCACUGACGCUCAUGCACGAAAGCGUGGGGAGCAAACAGGAUUAGAAACCCGAGUAGUCC